rnacentral:rRNA from 1 species
AUGCAGUCGAACGAUGAACCUGGAGCUUGCUCUAGGGAAUUAGUGGCGAACGGGUGAGUAACACGUGAGUAACCUGCCCUUGACUCUGGGAUAACCUCCGGAAACGGAAGCUAAUACCGGAUACGACGUACGGAGGCAUCUCCUGUACGUGGAAAGAACUUCGGUCAAGGAUGGACUCGCGGCCUAUCAGGUAGUUGGUGAGGUAACGGCUCACCAAGCCUACGACGGGUAGCCGGCCUGAGAGGGUGACCGGCCACACUGGGACUGAGACACGGCCCAGACUCCUACGGGAGGCAGCAGUGGGGAAUAUUGCACAAUGGGCGCAAGCCUGAUGCAGCAACGCCGCGUGAGGGAUGACGGCCUUCGGGUUGUAAACCUCUUUUAGUAGGGAAGAAGCGAAAGUGACGGUACCUGCAGAAAAAGCACCGGCUAACUACGUGCCAGCAGCCGCGGUAAUACGUAGGGUGCGAGCGUUGUCCGGAAUUAUUGGGCGUAAAGAGCUCGUAGGCGGUCUGUCGCGUCUGCUGUGAAAACCCGAGGCUCAACCUCGGGCCUGCAGUGGGUACGGGCAGACUAGAGUGCGGUAGGGGAGAAUGGAAUUCCUGGUGUAGCGGUGGAAUGCGCAGAUAUCAGGAGGAACACCGAUGGCGAAGGCAGUUCUCUGGGCCGUAACUGACGCUGAGGAGCGAAAGCGUGGGGAGCGAACAGGAUUAGAUACCCUGGUAGUCCACGCCGUAAACGUUGGGCGCUAGAUGUGGGGACCAUCCCCACGUUCCGUGUCGCAGCUAACGCAUUAAGCGCCCCGC